AGACUUGGUUGAGUUACUUUGGUUUCAUAUGAUACAUGGAUUUUAUUUGCUUAUUUGGCUUGUUUGGAGCUUAAUCCAAAGGAGUGAAUUCUUGCUUGACUUAUGUCAUAAAGCUUGCUAUCUCUUGGUUAUAUCUUUCCUCCCUAGCUUUUACUUUAUGCUCUUGGAUAGUCUCUUCUUCUCCCCCCUUCUUUAAUUUUCAAAAUCUUCUCUCGUUUUCAAAACCUUCUUGUUUUUUUUUUAAAUUGAAC
rnacentral:lncRNA from 1 species